rnacentral:rRNA from 1 species
ACUCAAAUGAAUUGACGGGGACCCGCACAAGCGGUGGAACAUGUGGUUUAAUUCGACGGUAAGCGAGGAACCUCACCAGGGCUUGACAUGAUACUGCAAAUCCCGUGAAAGCGGGACUCCUUCGAGGGUGUAUCACAGGUGCUGCAUGGUUGUCGUCAGCUCGUGCCGUGAGGUGUACCCUUAAGUGGGGUAACGAGCGCAACCCCUAUGAUGUGUUGUUGUUUCACAUCAGACUGCCUCGGAUAACGGGGAGGAAGGCGGGGAUGACGUCAAAUCAGCAUGGCUCUUACGCCCUGGGCGACACACGUGUUACAAUGGACGGUACAAAGGGCCGCCAAAGCGAAAGCUGGAGCAAAUCCCAUCAAAACCGUUCUCAGUUCGGAUCGUGGUCUGCAACUCGACCACGUGAAGCUGGAAUCGCUAGUAAACGCAUAUCAGCCACGGUGCGUUGAAUACGUUCUCGGGUCUUGUACACACCGCCCGU